GGCUGAUGACGAUGAUACCGUUCUGAGUUGGAGUGGCAUCCAUCAAUGAUGAACCCUAUGAGUGCCGAGGCC
rnacentral:snoRNA from 1 species